rnacentral:rRNA from 1 species
UACGUAGGGGGCUAGCGUUGUCCGGAUUUAUUGGGCGUAAAGAGCGUGUAGGCGGCCAGGUAGGUCUGCUGUGAAAACUCGAGGCUCAACCUCGAGACGUCGGCGGAAACCAUCUGGCUAGAGCCCGGAAGAGGAGAGUGGAAUUCCUGGUGUAGCGGUGAAAUGCGCAGAUAUCAGGAAGAACACCGGUGGCGAAGGCGGAUCUCUGGGCCGAUACUGACGCUGAGGAACGAAAGCGUGGGGAGCGAACAGGG